rnacentral:rRNA from 1 species
CUACGGGUCGCAGCAGUGAGGAAUAUUGCACAAUGGGGGGAACCCUGAUGCAGCAACGCCGCGUGGAGGAUGACGCAUUUCGGUGUGUAAACUCCUUUUAUAUGUCAAGAAAAUGACGGUAGCAUAUGAAUAAGCACCGGCUAACUCCGUGCCAGCAGCCGCGGUAAUAAGGAGGGUGCAAGCGUUACUCGGAAUCACUGGGCGUAAAGGACGCGUAGGCGGGUUGGAAAGUCAGGUGUGAAAUCCUACAGCUUAACUGUAGAACUGUACUUGAAACUUCUAAUCUAGAGUAUGGGAGGGGGAGAUGGAAUUAGUGGUGUAGGGGUAAAAUCCGUAGAUAUCACUAGGAAUACCUAAAGCGAAGGCGAUCUCCUGGAACAUUACUGACGCUAAGGCGUGAAAGCGUGGGGAGCAAACAGGAUUAGAUACCCGAGUAGUC